CGGGAUUUACCUCUCGGCGUGACAGCAAGAAUUCAGCCCUUCAGCGAGGAUGUAGGUCAUCCAGGGGGGCCUUGCAUUUGAAGGAGUGGAUGCAAAUUAAGCACAAGGAAACCAGAUGGGAAUGGAACCCAAAACCUGAGCACUUGCACCACUCCACUUUAUCCAUUCAGCACAGUGCGCCCACCAACAAUCCCUCCCAUCAUCUGCCACUUCUCCGCGGUUGGGUCACAGUGACAGCAAGCUAAGUAGGGCACUCCAGACGUCCCUCUUCCC